GGCGAACGCUGGCGGCGUGCUUAACACAUGCAAGUCGAACGGAAAGGCCCUGCUUGCAGGGUACUCGAGUGGCGAACGGGUGAGUAACACGUGGGUGAUCUGCCCUGCACUUCGGGAUAAGCUUGGGAAACUGGGUCUAAUACCGGAUAGGAGCCAUCUUUAGUGUGGUGGUUGGAAAGUUUUUUCGGUGUAGGAUGAGCUCGCGGCCUAUCAGCUUGUUGGUGGGGUAAUGGCCUACCAAGGCGGCGACGGGUAGCCGGCCUGAGAGGGUGUACGGCCACAUUGGGACUGAGAUACGGCCCAGACUCCUACGGGGGGCAGCAGUGGGGAAUAUUGCACAAUGGGCGCAAGCCUGAUGCAGCGACGCCGCGUGGGGGAUGAAGGCCUUCGGGUUGUAAACUCCUUUCGCUAGGGACGAAGCUUUUUUGUGACGGUACCUAGAUAAGAAGCACCGGCUAACUACGUG
rnacentral:rRNA from 1 species